rnacentral:rRNA from 1 species
AUUGAACGCUGGCGGCAGGCCUAACACAUGCAAGUCGAACGAGUGGCGGACGGGUGAGUAAUGUCUGGGAAACUGCCGGAUGGAGGGGGAUAACUACUGGAAACGGUAGCUAAUACCGCAUACCAUCGGAUGUGCCCAGAUGGGAUUAGCUAGUAGGUGGGGUAAAGGCUCACCUAGGCGACGAUCCCUAGCUGGUCUGAGAGGAUGACCAACCACACUGGAACUGAGACACGGUCCAGAAUGCUACGGAGGGAAGCAGUGGGGAAUAUUGCACAAUUAGCGCAAGCCUAAUGCAGCCAUGCCGCGUGUAUAAAGAAGGCCUUCGGGUUGUAGAGUACUUUCAGCGGGGAGGCGUUACCCGCAGAAGAAGCACCGACUGACUCCGUGCCAGCAGCCGCGGUAAUUC